CCUACGGGGGGCAGCAGUAGGGAAUAUUGCUCAAUGGGCGAAACCCUGAACCAGCAACGCCGCGUGGAGGAUGAAGGUUUUCGGAUUGUAAACUCCUUUUGUUAGAGACGAUAAUGACGGUAUCUAACGAAUAAGCACCGGCUAACUCCGUGCCAGCAGCCGCGGUAGUACGGAGGGUGCAAGCGUUACUCGGAAUCACUGGUCGUAAAGAGCGCGUAGGCGGGAUAGCAAGUCAGAUGUGAAAUCCUAUGGCUUAACCAUAGAACUGCAUUUGAAAAUGUUAUUCUAGAGUAGUGGAGAGGUAGGUGGAAUUCUUGGUGGAGGGGUAAAAUCCGUAGAGAUCAAGAGGAAUACUCAUGGCGAAGGCGAACUGCUAGAACAUAACUGACGCUGAUGCGCGAAAGCGUGGGGAGCAAACAGGAUUAGAUACCCGUGUAGUC
rnacentral:rRNA from 1 species